CCUGAACCAUGAUGUCCUCCCUGCUAUCCUCAAAGAACACCCUCAGUUUGCACGACGGUGGUGAUGCCGUGUGUGGCAGCCUGAACUACUGCCGUGCUAUACAAGGCUGUGAUCUCUGCAGUGUUUUACUUAAAGGACUAGUAUUUACUCUAUCUCUGUAUUCAUUCCCAUCUAGUGCUGGGGCAAUGUUCUCCGUCCCCACAUUUUAUUGUCUUAUUGUCCAGGGGGAGGUACCGCCCCCUCCCUUGUUGUGCUUUCUUUCUUACCAUUGUAUCUUUUUAGUUUCAUGGUGCUACCUACACAUGUAUUAAUAGUUGUAUAAUCACACUCUGUCCUGCCUGGGGGUUGGGAUGGCAUGUUCCUCCCUUCUCCCUUGUUGUUUACCUGCAACAAUAAACUAUCAAUCAAUCAAUCACUACAACGUUGAUGAAGAAAAAUUUGGUUCAGUCUGAAUUUACUUGUCUACAUUUGAGUUUUACGCCUUAAUUUGUUCCUCGUACGCAAAGUGUCAUCGAUCAUAAGCAAUAUUGAUCUGUCUACAUUCGUGAAACAUAUGGAGCCAAGCUCAGCAAAUUCAGCAUGGCCCAGAAUUUCUUUAAGUCGGCAUGGUCUGAAGUCAGCAUGGCCUAUAGCUGGCUCGCCCAACUCGGCAUAUGUCGGUACAGGAAGCUUUUUUGUAGCGAUAUGCUUAAUUCACCUCAGCCUAUGACCUUUUCUGAGCUCAGCAUACUACUACUACUACUACUACUACUACUACUACUACUACUACUACUACUACUACUACUACUACUACUACUACUACUACUACUACUACUACUACUACUACUACUACUACUACUACUACUACUACUACUAUUACUAGGGGUUUAAUUAUGAACAAGUCAGCAAUGCUCACUCAGGAUGGCGCCUCGCUGUUUCUCAAUGCUGAUCCUAUUAUGAACUCAGCAUGCAUUAAAGAGUUACUGAUUUCAGUCUAUAUAGCCACUCUGAGCUCAGCAUGGUGGUCUAUAUAUGACAGCAUGAUCGUUUUCUUGAUAUGCUGAGUUCGGAGUUCAACAUGGAUUUAAGUUAAGAUUAGCAUAUGAGUCAGCAUGGCCAUAAGUUUAAAUCAGCUUGCAUAAGAUCGAGUCAGCAUGGCUAUCUCUUUCAAUGCUGACUUUUUAUAGGCUCAGCAUAGGAGUUACAAGUGAACAAUGCCGUCAUUGAACUCAACUUGCUGAAUGUUGUGACCUUUAUUUCAAGUCAGCAUGCAUCAUAUGAAGUCAGCAUGUGUGGCCAAGUACACCCGAUGGCAGGCCGGACCCUAUCUCUCCUUCGGGGGCCAAGUUGUGAUUUGCUUGGCAGGAGCCGUGGUGCGGAACACUGGAGGCUGAGUGUGACGCUCCUUGUUGGCCGCUAUGAUGAUGAUGUGGUUUGGCUACUACCAGCUGAGAGGCCACAGCAUGCUUUCCUGAAGACCGGCCAGCAACCCGGACUCUAGAGCAGUGGUUUGCAUUGGUUGGUGUAGCAGUGCUGGGAGGUGCCAUAACACUCCCCUCAACAACAGUCUCUUCACCGACAAGUAAUUCUUCACCAACAAGCUUUUCAGCAGCUUGGAGAAAUAGAAGUACACCCGAUGGCAGGCCGGACCCUAUCUCUCCUUCGGGGGCCAAGUUGUGAUUUGCUUGGCAGGAGCCGUGGUGCGGAACACUGGAGGCCGAGUGUGGCGCUCCUUGGCCGCUAUGAUGAUGAUGUGGUUUGGCUACUACCAGCUGAGAGGCCACAGCAUGCUGUCCUGAAGACCGGCCAGCAACCCGGACUCUAGAGCAGUGGUUUGCAUUGGUUGGUGUAGCAGUGCUGGGAGGUGCCAUAACACUCACCUCAACAACAGUCUCUUCACCGACAAGUAAUUCUUCACCAACAAGCUUUUCAGCAGCUUGGAGAAAUAGAGACAAGAGGAGGAAGAGGAAGAAGAAGAAGAGGAAGAGGAGGAUGACUUUGAAGACCAGCAGACAGACAGAAAGACAUUGAAUUGAAUGGCUGGCGUCUCG